rnacentral:rRNA from 1 species
AAGCUCGUAGUUGAAUUUCGGGGUUAGUAGGUUGGUCAUGCCUCUGGUAUGUACUGGUCUCACUGAUUCCUCCUUCCUUAUGAACCGUAAUGCCAUUAAUUUGGUGUUGCGGGGAAUUUGGACUGUUACUUUGAAAAAAUUAGAGUGUUUAAAGCAAGCUAACGCUUGAAUACAUUAGCAUGGAAUAAUGAAAUAGGACGUUCGAUCCUAUUUUGUUGGUUUCUAGGAUUGACGUAAUGAUUAAUAGGGAUAGUUGGG